UUAAGCGACUAAGCGUACACGGUGGAUGCCCUGGCAGUCAGAGGCGAUGAAGGACGUGCUAAUCUGCGAUAAGCGUCGGUGAGGUGAUAUGAACCGUUAUAACCGGCGAUUUCCGAAUGGGGAAACCCAGUGUGUUUCGACACACUAUCAUUAACUGAAUCCAUAGGUUAAUGAGGCGAACCGGGGGAACUGAAACAUCUAAGUACCCCGAGGAAAAGAAAUCAACCGAGAUUCCCCCAGUAGCGGCGAGCGAACGGGGAGGAGCCCAGAGCCUGAAUCAGUGUGUGUGUUAGUGGAAGCGUCUGGAAAGGCGUGCGAUACAGGGUGACAGCCCCGUACACAAAAAUGCACAUAUUGUGAGCUCGAUGAGUAGGGCGGGACACGUGGUAUCCUGUCUGAAUAUGGGGGGACCAUCCUCCAAGGCUAAAUACUCCUGACUGACCGAUAGUGAACCAGUACCGUGAGGGAAAGGCGAAAAGAACCCCGGCGAGGGGAGUGAAAAAGAACCUGAAACCGUGUACGUACAAGCAGUGGGAGCCUCUUAAUGGGGUGACUGCGUACCUUUUGUAUAAUGGGUCAGCGACUUAUAUUCUGUAGCAAGGUUAACCGAAUAGGGGAGCCGAAGGGAAACCGAGUCUUAACUGGGCGUUAAGUUGCAGGGUAUAGACCCGAAACCCGGUGAUCUAGCCAUGGGCAGGUUGAAGGUUGGGUAACACUAACUGGAGGACCGAACCGACUAAUGUUGAAAAAUUAGCGGAUGACUUGUGGCUGGGGGUGAAAGGCCAAUCAAACCGGGAGAUAGCUGGUUCUCCCCGAAAGCUAUUUAGGUAGCGCCUCGUGAAUUCAUCUCCGGGGGUAGAGCACUGUUUCGGCAAGGGGGUCAUCCCGACUUACCAACCCGAUGCAAACUGCGAAUACCGGAGAAUGUUAUCACGGGAGACACACGGCGGGUGCUAACGUCCGUCGUGAAGAGGGAAACAACCCAGACCGCCAGCUAAGGUCCCAAAGUCAUGGUUAAGUGGGAAACGAUGUGGGAAGGCCCAGACAGCCAGGAUGUUGGCUUAGAAGCAGCCAUCAUUUAAAGAAAGCGUAAUAGCUCACUGGUCGAGUCGGCCUGCGCGGAAGAUGUAACGGGGCUAAACCAUGCACCGAAGCUGCGGCAGCGACACUAUGUGUUGUUGGGUAGGGGAGCGUUCUGUAAGCCUGUGAAGGUGGCCUGUGAGGGUUGCUGGAGGUAUCAGAAGUGCGAAUGCUGACAUAAGUAACGAUAAAGCGGGUGAAAAGCCCGCUCGCCGGAAGACCAAGGGUUCCUGUCCAACGUUAAUCGGGGCAGGGUGAGUCGACCCCUAAGGCGAGGCCGAAAGGCGUAGUCGAUGGGAAACAGGUUAAUAUUCCUGUACUUGGUGUUACUGCGAAGGGGGGACGGAGAAGGCUAUGUUGGCCGGGCGACGGUUGUCCCGGUUUAAGCGUGUAGGCUGGUUUUCCAGGCAAAUCCGGAAAACCAAGGCUGAGGCGUGAUGACGAGGCACUACGGUGCUGAAGUGACAAAUGCCCUGCUUCCAGGAAAAGCCUCUAAGCAUCAGGUAACAUCAAAUCGUACCCCAAACCGACACAGGUGGUCAGGUAGAGAAUACCAAGGCGCUUGAGAGAACUCGGGUGAAGGAACUAGGCAAAAUGGUGCCGUAACUUCGGGAGAAGGCACGCUGAUAUGUAGGUGAAGCGACUCGCUCGUGGAGCUGAAAUCAGUCGAAGAUACCAGCUGGCUGCAACUGUUUAUUAAAAACACAGCACUGUGCAAACACGAAAGUGGACGUAUACGGUGUGACGCCUGCCCGGUGCCGGAAGGUUAAUUGAUGGGGUUAGCGGUAACGCGAAGCUCUUGAUCGAAGCCCCGGUAAACGGCGGCCGUAACUAUAACGGUCCUAAGGUAGCGAAAUUCCUUGUCGGGUAAGUUCCGACCUGCACGAAUGGCGUAAUGAUGGCCAGGCUGUCUCCACCCGAGACUCAGUGAAAUUGAACUCGCUGUGAAGAUGCAGUGUACCCGCGGCAAGACGGAAAGACCCCGUGAACCUUUACUAUAGCUUGACACUGAACAUUGAGCCUUGAUGUGUAGGAUAGGUGGGAGGCUUUGAAGUGUGGACGCCAGUCUGCAUGGAGCCGACCUUGAAAUACCACCCUUUAAUGUUUGAUGUUCUAACGUUGGCCCGUAAUCCGGGUUGCGGACAGUGUCUGGUGGGUAGUUUGACUGGGGCGGUCUCCUCCUAAAGAGUAACGGAGGAGCACGAAGGUUGGCUAAUCCUGGUCGGACAUCAGGAGGUUAGUGCAAUGGCAUAAGCCAGCUUGACUGCGAGCGUGACGGCGCGAGCAGGUGCGAAAGCAGGUCAUAGUGAUCCGGUGGUUCUGAAUGGAAGGGCCAUCGCUCAACGGAUAAAAGGUACUCCGGGGAUAACAGGCUGAUACCGCCCAAGAGUUCAUAUCGACGGCGGUGUUUGGCACCUCGAUGUCGGCUCAUCACAUCCUGGGGCUGAAGUAGGUCCCAAGGGUAUGGCUGUUCGCCAUUUAAAGUGGUACGCGAGCUGGGUUUAGAACGUCGUGAGACAGUUCGGUCCCUAUCUGCCGUGGGCGCUGGAGAACUGAGGGGGGCUGCUCCUAGUACGAGAGGACCGGAGUGGACGCAUCACUGGUGUUCGGGUUGUCAUGCCAAUGGCACUGCCCGGUAGCUAAAUGCGGAAGAGAUAAGUGCUGAAAGCAUCUAAGCACGAAACUUGCCCCGAGAUGAGUUCUCCCUGACUCCUUGAGAGUCCUGAAGGAACGUUGAAGACGACGACGUUGAUAGGCCGGGUGUGUAAGCGCAGCGAUGCGUUGAGCUAACCGGUACUAAUGAACCGUGAGGCUUAACCUU
rnacentral:rRNA from 2 species